rnacentral:rRNA from 1 species
CCGCGAAUCGCCCUUCGGGGUGCCCAGGCGCGAAAACUUUACAAUGCGGGAAACCGUGAUAGGGGAACUCUGAGUGCCCGUAAAAUCGGGCUGUCCAUCUGUUUAAAUAACAGGUGAAGAAAGGGCCGGGCAAGACCGGUGCCAGCCGCCGCGGUAAUACCGGCGGCUCGAGUGGUGGCCACUAUUACUGGGCUUAAAGCGUUCGUAGCUGGUUUGUUAAGUCUCUGGGGAAAUCUUCCGGCUCAACUGGAAGGCGUCUCAGGGAUACUGGCAGACUUGGGACCGGGAGAGGUGAGAGGUACUCCAGGGGUAGGAGUGAAAUCCUGUAAUCCUUGGGGGACCACCUGUGGCGAAGGCGUCUCACCAGAACGGCUCCGACAGUGAGGGACGAAAGCUGGGGGAGCAAACCGGAUUAGAUACCCGGGUAGUCCCAGCUGUAAACGAUGCACGUUAGGUGUAUCGGUGACCACGAGUCACCGAGGUGCCGAAGAGAAAUCGUGAAACGUGCCGCCUGGGAAGUACGGUCGCAAGGCUGAAACUUAAAGGAAUUGGCGGGGGAGCAC